rnacentral:rRNA from 1 species
AUUGAACGCUGGCGGCAUGCUUUACACAUGCAAGUCGAACGGUAACAGGCCGCAAGGUGCUGACGAGUGGCGAACGGGUGAGUAAUGCAUCGGAACGUGCCCAGUCGUGGGGGAAAACGCAGCGAAAGCCGUGAUAAUACCGCAUACGGACUGUGGAAGAAAGCGGGGGACCGUAAGGCCUCGCGCGAUUGGAGCGGCCGAUGUCUGAUUAGGUAGUUGGUGGGGUAAAGGCUCACCAAGCCGACGAUCUGUAGCUGGUCUGAGAGGACGACCAGCCACACUGGGACUGAGACACGGCCCAGACUCCUACGGGAGGCAGCAGUGGGGAAUUUUGGACAAUGGGCGCAAGCCUGAUCCAGCAAUGCCGCGUGCAGGAAGAAGGCCUUCGGGUUGUAAACUGCUUUUGUACGGAGCGAAAAGGCUCUCUCUAAUACAGGGGGUUCAUGACGGUACCGUAAGAAUAAGCACCGGCUAACUACGUGCCAGCCGCCGCCGUAAGAC